CUCCUCUCAGGGUCACACCUAGAGAGUUGCCAGGACUCUACCAGUCUCAGCUACAGGAGGGAGAGUGAAGCAGAGGCCUGUCCAUUCCAUUCCUAGCUUGGGCAAUGGCUGGCGAGUGGAGGGCCAUCUGCUACAAGU